rnacentral:rRNA from 1 species
GUAGGGUGCGAGCGUUAAUCGGAAUGACUGGGCGUAAAGGGUGCGCAGGCGGUUGGUUAAGACGGAUGUGAAAGCCCCGGGCUCAACCUGGGAACGGCAUUCGUGACUGGCCGACUAGAAUAUGGCAGAGGGAGGUGGAAUUCCACAAGUAGCAGUGAAAUGCGUAGAGAUGUGGAGGAACACCGAUGGCGAAGGCAGCCUCCUGGGCCAAUAUUGACGCUCAGGCACGAAAGCGUGGGGAGCAAACAGGAUUAGAUACCCUGGUAGUCCACGCCCUAAACGAUGUCAACUAGUUGUUGGGGAAAGCAUCCCUUAGUAACGCAGCUAACGCGAGAAGUUGACCGCCUGGGGAGUACGGUCGCAAGAUUA